UGGCUUGUGUCCAGUGCUAGUCCUAAUCAGUGUAGAGCCAUUGAAAUUAAUGAACUUAAGUUUGCAAUUCCCAUGAAUUUCAGGGGUUCUGCUCUGAGUAGGACUAGCACUGGAUGUGGUCCA